rnacentral:rRNA from 1 species
UACGGAGGGUGCGAGCGUUAAUCGGAAUUACUGGGCGUAAAGCGCACGUAGGCGGUCAGGCAAGUCGGAUGUGAAAGCCCUCGGCUCAACCAAGGAAGUGCAUCCGAAACUGCUGAGCUUGAGUACUUAAGAGGAUCGCGGAAUUCCCGGUGUAGAGGUGAAAUUCGUAGAUAUCGGGAGGAACACCAGUGGCGAAGGCGGCGAUCUGGGAAGAUACUGACGCUGAGGUGCGAAAGCGUGGGGAGCAAACAGG